CCUAAGCCCAGGGAGCAGGCCACAGAUGUCUCCCACGUGCACUGCAUCCUUACCUCCCUGAAGCAGCCCUGAGAAGCCGCCCUACAGAAACAAGACAUCUGCAGCAUCUUAACCCUGGUCAGUGAAGCUGUUCACAUAAUUGGAUAAUGGCAUACACACGUCCACUCCUAAUUCUGCCUGCAGAGCAAUGAAAUCGUUAGGAAACUACCCAAGUCUCUGGCCCCCAGCACCAGAUAAGGAAAUCUGAGUGAGUUUCCAUGUCUAGAAGAUGUUUGAAUGGCAACGAAGUCCUUUUAUAAAGUUGCUUUCACAGUACAGAAAACUGCUGGGAGCUUUGGAAAACCAAGGGACAGCUCCUCCUAAGGUUCCAACUCAAAUGCCUAGUCACACCCAACACUAUGGAAAUCCUCAGACUCGAGUGCUUUUGCUGUGGACUCGAUGAGAUGAAAGCUUAGAUGGUCUCCAACUCCUGGACAGCUCUUUCCUUACGUCUCUUCCUUGGGUGUAAAACAACCAUCUACACAAACAGCAGCUAACUCCAUAAGUAGUUGGUUCGUUCUGUUUCUCCUACAGGAGAUCACAUGGUCCAUUUCUUAAGGAUUGAAGACGAAAAAUCAUUUUCAAGAGAUUACCCCAAAUGUACAAUAAAUAGUAGAAAGUACUAGGAACUCCGAAGACAGAAGGGAUGGAGAACAAUAAAUACAUUUAUCUGUGUCUUCAA